CCUAAGACCCGUCGCCGACGCCGCCGCCGCCGCCGCUGCCACCACCGAUCACAGUUAUACAAUGCAAUACAGGGUCGUCGGUUUGUUGUAUAUAUCGGAUGGAUGAUCAAAUUGAUUGGAUUGUUGUUGAGUUUAGUGAUGAUACUAGUAUUGAAGUGGUACCUAACUUUUGGUUUAAAAAUAAUUCUCGUGCUUGGCCUAAAGCUUCUAAGCAAGCAAAGAGAUAUAUCCAAAAACGAAUUAAACCUAUUACAAAUGACUUCUUAUUUUUUAAGUCUAGACAAAUUGGACAUAAAGUUCAUAGUUCAUAAAGCGAAGCAAAAAAAAAAUUACCCUUGGCUAUGCGGAAAUCUGACUUGUCAAGUGCUGAUGAAAUUAUCGAUUGGAUGAGAAGAAGGAAGAAAAAAUACCCUAAUAGAGAUCAAAGUUUGUCUCCUAAUUUAUAAUUAUACAAUUGUGAAAUCAACAAAAUUAAAAGUUGAAAACUCAAAAAAAAAAACAAAAUUAUACAAUCUUCUGAAAGCUGUCCUCCUCAUUAUAAUGAUAUUUCUCAAUCAAUUCAUUCAAAAGAGGAAAAAAAUAUUUUUGAUAUUUCUGAUGACUCUGACUCUAAUAAUGAUAUAGUAUACAAUUCAGACAAAGAUCAUAUUGACAAAGGCCAAAGUAA